CUGUGAGAUGGACCUGUUGUGUCAAAGAGGGAGCCCAGGAAAAGGACAAAGUGCUGGAGUGGAGGAGGUGGUGCAGAGGUCACUGCAGGCACCUGCUGUUUCUGGAAGUUUCUGUUUUGAGGUAUAUGCUGACUUUGGACAGGUUCAGUGCCUUCAGCAGCUUUUGCAGGGUGCCAGUUCCACAAUCUGGUUUAACAAAGGCCACUAGUCCAGGAACCUCUUCCAUGGGACCCACAUGAAAAACAGGAGUUGGAGGAGCAGAGUGAAGGAAGGGAAUGCUGGAGCCUGGCUGAGACUCUGGAGGUCUCUGCAGUGGUUUUGCACAAGUUGUCUAGAAAAAGGACAAAGUCUCCUGGUUGAGAAUUCGUGGCAUGAAGGUCUGAGCAAGAGGAACUGUACUUUCCUUUGCAUCACUGGCAUUUCAGCCCAGAGCUCUCCCACAUCUCAUAAGCUGCUUUGA
rnacentral:lncRNA from 1 species